UCCGCUAUUUCCUCCUCCGAGCCGAGCUACUCCGCCAGCCAAAGCCGUCAUCCACUGGCCGUCCCCUUCAAAUCCCCCACACCUGAACCUUCCUCACCUCGCGCUCAAACUCCACGACCCGCUGUUGACCCAGCCAAUCUACUCCUUGGCGGCAAUCGCCGGAUUCCCAACCGCAGUGCACCACCGAGCCGCCAUGACCACCAUCCCUUCGCCGGCGCAGUACGCCCAGCACCGGCCAUCUUCCUUCAAUCGCCCGAGCCAACACCUAGAUAACCUCCCUAGAUACCUCCUCGACCUGUCCCCGCCGCUCGCCAUCGUGUCCGCGGCCGGGAAUGGACGAUUCCCCGCCCGCCAUUGCCGCGCCAAGACCGACCUCCACCCGCACGCCGACGACCACCCUCCGGUCACCAUCUUCGCCGGCUAACUGCUCAAACCGAGCCGCGGUGAGACCAUGUCCCACAUGAUCGCGCCCUUUCCCCGGUUUAGCUAAGUUGCCGCGCUCGAUUUCAAGCUCGCCGCCGGAGCGCCGCCGCCGCUAGUCGCGGUUGGUGCUAGGGUUUGGGUUUCGGGGAGAUAGGAGAGGGAGGAUGUGCGCUAGGGUGUGGUGAACGUUCUGGGGUAGUCAAAGUGGUGGAAGAAGAAGCCCCCGCGCCGGCGUUGCCGCGCCGGCGUUGCCGCGCCACCGCCGCUCACCGGCCGCACGCCGGAGGUAGAAGAAGGCGAGGAACCUAUCUGCGAGGAGAAAAGAAGUUUAGGGGGUUAUGGGUAAAUGUUUAUCCACGUGGACCAGGUUAAAUCCACGUCGACUGUGCUUAUGUGUCGCCACGUAAGCGUAAACGAUCCUCAAAACAGCCUCGGGUCCUAACUCAACCGGAUUAGGACAGAUGAGGGAUGCCAGAUAUCCGGUUUUACGGAUGAGGGACGAAAGCCAGACUUCGGCGAGACGUCGAAAGGACUUUUUCCAUUCGGAAAGGGGUGGUAAAAUGCAGCAACGUUCUUCCUUCCGUUUCUUCGGCGUCCGGAGAUGGAGGCCUAGUAGAGAAACUGGAGCGAUGGAGCUUGAUUUUGGGUUAGUGGAUGAACAAGAAGGGCGACUAUUGUGCCGAUCUCGCGAGCUAUCCCCACGGCCAUGACCUCAGCGUUGCCUUCGUCCGCCAGGUACGCCGACGCUUGAAAGCAGCGAUUGUUAUUCUUAUACAAAGCAGAAAUGCUAGGGUUUCAAGAUUUACAGGAGUAGCAAUGUUACUAGUUCCGAAUUACUACUACUAUCAGAAAACAAAGUAGCACCCACGAUUGAAUCCAAAUGACAUGUUAAAACAGGGAGUGCAUGAGAAGAACUACGAAGAUCAUAAAACCCUGGGAGGACCUGGUGCUUGUGCUGUUCUGUGAAGUCACAGGAUUUGCUGACUGGUUGUGGGGGCAUGAAACGGCACCACAUGGGUCUAGGUCACCUUGCUGCUGUUUCUUGAGCUUGCAGAUACUAGUGUCAUGUAAGCAUAUAGGAUUGCCUGUUAACCUGGACAAAAAAACGAGAUGAGUAACAAUGCAUGCAACUUAGCUGUACAAGUGUGCAAUAUUUUUUUAGAGAGAGAAGGAUGUUUACAUGAAGCUGAUGUUGUAUCCUGGGUCUACGUUAGCAUCAGUGAUUUGAUUGUUAGUCAAAUUAACCACACGCAGUAGUGAACUGAUGUUACUUCUCAUACUUACUGUCCCAUUGAGUGCAUUAUUAGCUAGUGAGCUGCAUUACAAGUCACAAUAAAAAGACAUAAUUUAUUCCGGUAUAGAUAUGUUAUUCAGAAAUCUGUGGCACGGGACAUGAAGAAUUACACUUGCUGCAGCUGCGGUAAACUGAACAGAGCAGUAGGGAUUGUCCCGGUCAGACCAUCAUUAUCCAUAAAUCUGUAUAUCAUUCAAAGCAUAAACAUCACUUAUAAUGUACUGUGGGUUACUGAAUCCAUUUCAUAUUCACUUCAAUAAUCCUUGGAAAACUCACGGGGUAUUCAGGGAUGUCAGUGUUGAGAACCAUCCUGGUGCUGGUGACCUUGCGAAGUUAUUGUUGCUUAGGUCCCUGCUGAGUCAAAGAAAUAGAAGUCCUCAACAUUAGAAAGAAUCAUCAACCUGAACCUUUGAUAUAUUUGUCUUACAAAUAAUUUAGCUGAGUUGCAUUAAUGAGAUCUGGCACCAUCCCACUCUGUAGGUUGCUUGCUAAGUUCCUGCAACAACCAACAGAUAUUUGCAAUUUAAUUUGAAGCACCAUGAUAUGCUCAUUUUGUUGUUAUUAGUUACUUACAGUUCCAUCAGGUUACGUAGGUUGCCGAUACUUUUAGGAACCGAGCCACUAAACUGGUUCUCAUCUAGCAGGUGGCAUGCAAAAAGAAAUUCAAAACUGUUUAUAGGGUUUUUAAGACUGAUGCCAAAUUAUUUUGACUGGUACUUACAUCAUUUGAAGUGUUUGGACAAACCCAAGAGAUUCCAGGAUUGUCCCAGUAAAUUUGUUCUUCUGAAAAUACCUGAUAAUGAAACAGAAAGCAGUGAGAUGGUACAUAUGAUAGAGUAAAUUACCUAACAUGAAUGAAGAACACAGCUUGCACAUGUAUAAGGGUCAUGUUGGCAUUGAAAAGGCUUUCGCUUAUCGGACCUGUCAACUGGUUAUCAGCAAAGUGGCUGUCGAUUGGAUAGAUGGAACAAACAUAUGGUAAUCAGCAAAUUUGAACAUCAAUUUUUCGUUAUUUAUUUAUAUCCUAGAGGUGGUACAACAUUUGAGAACUUACAAAUGCUUUGUGCCAACAAGUUGAUCCAACCCUGAAGUUGAACUUGUUGAAACUGGGAUUUGUCCUGACAGCUGAUUUGCUGUCAAAUUCAAUAAGAAAAGAUUUGAGAGAUGGCCAGGUGUUGCUGGAAUUCCACCAGUGAAAUUAUUUGAGUUUAGGGCCCUGCAUGAAAACAAUUAGUUAAUUGAAUUUGCAUUAUGUACAGAACCGUGUCCAUUGAGGAUCUCCAUCCAAGCUGGAGGGAAUUCUUACAGGAAGGUGAGCUGGGUUAAAUUUCCUAUCUCUUUUGGAAUAUUGCCAUUGAAGCUGCAUCCUUGCAAAUUCCUUAGAAAACCAAGAUACAUCAGCUUCUCCACUUUGUUUUCUUUGGUGCUCUUCAGGCCCCUAAAAGAUAAUUUAGUGCUUUAUAUAGUGGAAUGCCAUUUCUUACAGAGUUGUGAGCUGCUUCAAAUUUCCUAUGUUUGGAGUGAGUGGGCCACCGAGAUUUGGGUUGUUAGGCAGAUCCCUGCAUGCAUAUUAUCUCAGUAGCCUAAACAUAUGUUUCUCCGUUCAUGAUCUCUAGAUGAACUCGUCGGUUGUAGCAUCUCAUUAGUGUAUCUCAUAGUUACCCAGGUACUGAAGAUUUAUUGUUGGCUACAUUAAGUUCCUCUCAAACUAAGCAAUGAAGUACUCACAGAUAUGUCAAAGCAGUGAGUUGGUCGAUGGUGCUGCUUAAUGUACCUUGCAGAUUCAUGCUUGGUAAUUUUCUACAAGGACCAAGUUUCAGUUUGCGGAUACUGUUGUGUAAUUCUUCGAUAGAAAGGUUAAUCAAGCACUCACACUUCUGUCACCCUCCCAUUAGAACAGGAAACUCCAUCCCACGAGGUACAGGGAUCAGUUUGUCCUGUCCAGCUUUGCGGUACAUUCUGCCAAUUCUUCGUCAAUGCCUGAAGCGCUGCAACUGUAGAAUUCAUAAAGCAACAUUAACUCAAUUACUUUUGCAUCAACAGAUACAUCCAUCUUGGAUCGAAGUAUCAAUGAAUCUUAUUGAUAUGAGAAGUAUGUGCAAAUGUCAUAUUGCAGAAUUCAAAGAAACAAGGGUUGCUUCGUUUUCCACUCAGUUGUACCAGCAAGAAAUAAGCAGUACUGAUAUGGCUCAACUCCUUUUUUCAGAGCAACAUCCACUCAAUGAGUAAAUAAAUAACCCCAAAUAGGGAGGCAGCAUUCGUCCUGUAACCCGUUGAAAUCCAGAAGGCUUACCAUCUUGAGAGUUUGUUUGGCUGGAGCUUGGCCGGAGGCCUACCAAGAGCAGGGACAGAAGUAGGACGCGCUGCAUUGCCAGUUGCCACUGUGUUGUGCACUUCUGGUCCUGACCUCCAAGGUGAUGUGAGGCCAGCACAGUUGAACUGGUGACUGAUCAGAAGAUGAAAUCGUUUGAGACAACGUUCCUGCAUUCCUCUUUGCUAAGGGCCAUAGGAGCUGUGAAAAGUAUUCAGGCAGAGUCAAGGCUGCCAACCCUGC